rnacentral:rRNA from 1 species
GACGAACGCUGGCGGCGUGCCUAAUACAUGCAAGUAGAACGCUGAAGGAGGAGCUUGCUUCUCUGGAUGAGUUGCGAACGGGUGAGUAACGCGUAGGUAACCUGCCUGGUAGCGGGGGAUAACUAUUGGAAACGAUAGCUAAUACCGCAUAAUAGUAGAUGUCGCAUGACAUUUGCUUAAAAGGUGCAAUUGCAUCACUACCAGAUGGACCUGCGUUGUAUUAGCUAGUUGGUGAGGUAACGGCUCACCAAGGCAACGAUACAUAGCCGACCUGAGAGGGUGAUCGGCCACACUGGGACUGAGACACGGCCCAGACUCCUGCGGGAGGCAGCAGUAGGGAAUCUUCGGCAAUGGACGGAAGUCUGACCGAGCAACGCCGCGUGAGUGAAGAAGGUUUUCGGAUCGUAAAGCUCUGUUGUAAGAGAAGAACGAGUGUGAGAGUGGAAAGUUCACACUGUGACGGUAGCUUACCAGAAAGGGACGGCUAACUACGUG